AAAAUCAUCUGCAGCCGAGAGACCCUCUCUUUUCCGACUCUCUUUCCCAAAUCUCGUUUCUCUUUUUUUUUUCUCUAGAUCUGCAGUUUCUCAACCUUUAGUCUCUUGUUGAUCUCUGUCUCUUACUCUUUAUGUUCCUGAUUCAUGCUGUUUGUUUGAAGCGAUCGACGAAGAACACCUGAAACCUAGAACACAGACUCCUCGUCAAACAUCAUCAUCAAUGGUUGACGAUUUUCAAGACUUGGGUGAUAUGGGGGUUUCCAAUUUUUAGCAAUUCGAGCUUUUUGAACUGAUUUGUUUAACUCACAGAUACGAGGAUGAACCAGUUGAGGAUGGUUAUGAAUGAGAUGAAGAGGAGGUUGAAAUUAACAAUCUUGCUGCUGGUGGGGAUGUGGUUGUAGAAGGUGAAGAGAAAGAAUAAGUUGAACCAGUUCAAGAGAUAGGAAGAUGUUUUAGUUUAUGGCUAAGUAUGAACAUCAUCAAUUCAUUGUGUGAUAGGUUAUGGGAUGUGAUUACAAGGAACUCUCCAUCACGAGAUCAUAUAACAACUUAUUACCGGGUCACGGACAUGUCACUAAAAGGGGUAUAAGUCUUUAUCUUCGUAUCUUUGAUCUAUUGAUUAAUUCUGUUAGUCUCAUUCUAUGUAUGAUAUACUAGAAUGAAUGAAGAUAUGAUGCAUGCUCCUUGAUGUACGUUUUAUAUGUUGUAAGUCUAAAAUCUCUAUAAUGUGAAGCUAAUGAAUCUUUAUAAUAAGAAGAGAGUUUGUAUCUAAUCCCGGAAAUGAUAUCAUUUGGGAUAAGCUCCUUCAAAUUGUCAACGUUUUCACGAGAAGAGUUUAGACACCAGGUUCAUUUCUUUCAGUCACCAGUUAACAAGCAAGAAGGAGAUCUGGUUUUGUUGUCGUAGCCGUCGAGACCAAGCAGUUGUGUUAUGGCUGCUCACCAUGGAGCAAGACUCCGGGAGGAAGAAGGAAGAUGGAGUGUAUCUGUUGGUGUUGAAACUGAAGAAACAGGGAGGAAGUAAACUAUGCUGCCAUACAAAUUUGAAGUGAAAGAGGAGAUCAAAGAAGGGAUAACUAGUCUGCAAAGGAUUAAGAUGAAUUGGGGUUUAUCUAUAUUUCAUAUCUGUAUGGAAAGAGAUGCAAUUGUCUUUGAAACCGACAACAUGCUCAUGUUUCCUUCAUCACCAAAAAAUGCACACUUGGUGCAUGUAGAAAUGCCUGAAAGACGUUUCUUCACAACUUAGAGUGGAUCGAGCGUAUGGUUUGUUGGCUCGAGUUCAGGGCUGGAUUGAUCUCGAUUUAGAGCUGAUUUUAGGUGUUGAACUGGAAUUGUAUGGGCAUCAGAAGUGGUUAAAUUUGUGGUGAUUUGGCUGAGUUCUGGCAGUAACAUAAAAAGAAGGAAUGAGUAGUUGUUGGACUGAGAUGCGCAUUAACAAGGAUUUUGGUUGAUGUUAGAAAUCAAAGAAGACAGAGAAGAACCUGAUGUUGUUGUUGCUAUAACUGAAGUGCCAUAGAACUGCAAAAUGGACGCAGCUGAAGCCAUAAGUAAAACACUUGUGGUACAAUGGCAAAGAUUUCCUCUAGUCAGGUAUCGAUGGGUCUCCUCUACAGGCAUAUAUAUUCAUGGGACCAAGAUACUACCAGAAGCUGACGCACAUGGCACAUUGUUCAGAAGAUCUUAAACUAAAAGUUGGUAAUGAUUCAGCGGUGCGACUUGGCUGGGCAUCUCUUUGGGUAAAUGUUCCUUACUCUCAUUUCUCAGUAUCACCUAUCUUACUCUCAGAGAUGAUAAUCUCCCACCCGUAGGGAAGAACAGAAAGAGAGGAAAACAAAAUUGCAGCAGAAAUCAAGAAGCUUCGAUUGAAAUAUUAAGAUCUUCACAAACUGCAUAUUUGAUGUGUUUCUUGCUGUCACCUACGUACUGUAUCAAUCAGUUGAAGAAGACACCUAAAGGAUGGGAGGUUCAGAAAUUGUUUAAGGGAAUUUGCUGGUAAAGCCCUAUGAUAAUUCGGUUUGGUUCAAGCUGUGGUUCUUCAUCUUAUACUUUUUAUCCUAUUCCAGAACCAUUACUUUAUCAUCAGUGGAAAUGCAUAAAUGCACAAGUUGAUUGACUGAUAUUGCACUUUGCAGGGGGUCCGUGGUACCAGUGAUUGGGUAAGUGAUACACUUAUUCAAGUCCCUAUUUUUUUAGAGUUUAAAGAAUAUCGCCGAGAUGAUCAGUUCAGUUCUGGAAACAGACUAGCUCAACUACUGAGCUUCACUCAUCAGAAGUCCCAACACUUACUCGAGUCUCAUUGGUCUCUAGUAUCUUUCAGGUUCUUCAUCAUCUUGGUCGUAUUUACAAGACGAGAAUUCAGCAUCCUCGUGUGACCAUCCUCUCAAAGCCACAAUAAUCUGCUGCAUUCUGAUUACUCACUGUAAGAGAUUGUAACAUUCUGUUUCUAUAUGGAAUCCUUAUAAGCUAAAACAAACAUAGUUGCACUAGCACAAUGUAAGAAACAAGAACAUUUUUACAUAUGCAAUUCAA